UAACGCUCCACAGCUGCCCGCGUUUACGUUCGCUUCUUGUGUUCCAGCAUUGCCAGACUCUGUGCUACGUACAUCUCAACAUCAAGCCUGCACCUCGGUGGAACACCGCACGCGGCUGCAAAAGAGUUAUCGAGCAACCGUCGCGCAACAAGUUUUCGUUGUCGUGACUUUUAUUGAAGGCCACUAACGGUCUAUAUGCCAUAGUUAAACGAUCACCGUGAGGUACUACCAGCAGGAACCAGCCACACUGCCUGUGGUCAGAAUAAAAGGCAGAAGAAGACUGCCAGAACUGAGAGUUUCUACUACGAACAUUGUAAUGUGGUAUAUUUUGCUGCUGAUCAAAUAUAUCGAGAAAGAGAAGAAGUGUUCGGUGACAUUGUGAGGACUAUAAUGAAGUACCACCUGUAAGUGGAUCCCAAGUCUGCAAAUUUCAUAGCUGUCCACAAACAAGAUUAAAUAUUUGCUAAAUGCAAUGCGUAUAAAAAAACAAUUGACAGAUAUUGUCAAAUGACAAAUGGUUUUGCUGGAAGGAAAAUGAACAAGUAUUAAAAG